ensembl:snRNA U6 U6 spliceosomal RNA
GUGGUUGCUUCUGCAGCACAUAUACUAAAAUUAGAAUAAUACAGAGAAGAUUAACAUGCUCCCUGUGCAAAGAUGGCAUGUCAACUUAAACAUUCAGCACUUUUUA